rnacentral:siRNA from 1 species
GCCACCUUGAUUGUUGAUGUAGC